rnacentral:snoRNA from 1 species
AUUUGUGAUUCAUAAGUAUGAUGUUUGGGUGUUCACACCAUUGUAUGAGCUAUUCCUCCCUUAAAUCUUGUUAGGCUGUUGU